rnacentral:rRNA from 1 species
GUCUACGGCCAUACCUAGGCGAAAACACCAGUUCCCGUCCGAUCACUGCAGUUAAGCGUCUGAGGGCCUCGUUAGUACUAUGGUUGGAGACAACAUGGGAAUCCGGGGUGCUGUAGGCUUUU